rnacentral:rRNA from 1 species
GUAGGUGGCAAGCGUUGUCCGGGAAUUAUUGGGCGUAAAGCGCGCGCAGGUGGUUCUUUAAGUCUGAUGUGAAAGCCCACGGGCUCAACCGUGGAGGGUCAUUGGAAACUGGAGAACUUGAGUACAGAAGAGGGAAGCGGAAUUCCACGUGUAGCGGUGAAAUGCGUAGAGAUGUGGAGGAACACCAGUGGCGAAGGCGGCUUUCUGGUCUGUAACUGACGCUGAGGCGCGAAAGCGUGGGGAGCAAACAGGAUUAGAUACCCUGGUAGUCCACGCCGUAAACGAUGAGUGCUAAGUGUUAGGGGGUUUCCGCCCCUUAGUGCUGCAGCUAACGCAUUAAGCACUCCGCCUGGGGAGUACGGCCGCAAAGGCUG